rnacentral:rRNA from 1 species
UGCAAGUCGAGCGGACAGAUGGGAGCUUGCUCCCUGAUGUUAGCGGCGGACGGGUGAGUAACACGUGGGUAACCUGCCUGUAAGACUGGGAUAACUCCGGGAAACCGGGGCUAAUACCGGAUGGUUGUUUGAACCGCAUGGUUCAGACAUAAAAGGUGGCUUCGGCUACCACUUACAGAUGGACCCGCGGCGCAUUAGCUAGUUGGUGAGGUAACGGCUCACCAAGGCGACGAUGCGUAGCCGACCUGAGAGGGUGAUCGGCCACACUGGGACUGAGACACGGCCCAGACUCCUACGGGAGGCAGCAGUAGGGAAUCUUCCGCAAUGGACGAAAGUCUGACGGAGCAACGCCGCGUGAGUGAUGAAGGUUUUCGGAUCGUAAAGCUCUGUUGUUAGGGAAGAACAAGUGCCGUUCAAAUAGGGCGGCACCUUGACGGUACCUAACCAGAAAGCCACGGCUAACUACGUGCCAGCAGCCGCGGUAAUACGUAGGUGGCAAGCGUUGUCCGGAAUUAUUGGGCGUAAAGGGCUCGCAGGCGGUUUCUUAAGUCUGAUGUGAAAGCCCCCGGCUCAACCGGGGAGGGUCAUUGGAAACUGGGGAACUUGAGUGCAGAAGAGGAGAGUGGAAUUCCACGUGUAGCGGUGAAAUGCGUAGAGAUGUGGAGGAACACCAGUGGCGAAGGCGACUCUCUGGUCUGUAACUGACGCUGAGGAG